CUUGUAUAAGGUAGGCCUUUGAUAAAUAUUUGUUGGAUUGAAUUGUUGACCUGCAAGAGAAUAGGUCUUAGAAUUAGAUGAUCUGGAUUCUAGCCCUGGCUCUGUCCUCAUAUGAGAUUUAGAAAAAAAAACCCACAAAAACAAACUUUCUAUAUUAAAGUGCAUUAAAAGCUGGGCUAGAAUCACAGCCCCAUAGACUUAGACCUGGAAGAAAAGUUGAGAUUAUCUAAUUCAAUUCUAUCAUUUUACAGAGAAGUGAACCGAGGCCCAGAGAGGUUGAAGGGUCUGCCUAAAGCCACACAGUAGUAAAUGACAGGACUGGAACUGGAGUCCAAAUACGAUGUCCAAAAAAGAGACGAGAGAAAAGAUGCAGAGAUUAGACUCUGGAAUUCCCCAGUUCCAGUUGAUAUGUCUUGUCUUGCAAUGUUAGACCUGAAUGAAGAAGAACUUCUGUGACCUCUCUUGUCCCAGUGAGCAGUAAAUUCCACUCAUGGUCAGGCCAGGUUAACGUUCCGUGGGCAUUUGAUUUCUCCACUGGCUGAACACAGUAAAUAUCGAAGCUAGACCUCAUCCUGUAAUGUUAUGCCCAUUUCUGGGCUACGUUUUUGGAAGGACACUGACAAUCUCUGCGUGUGUACAAGAAGAAAUUGACCAGAAUAAUAAGGGGACUGGAAACUCUGCCCAAACAGGACCAGCUGAAGGGGCCUGAUGUUUUGCUCAUACUGUCCUGAAGCAAGAAAUAUCUUCUGGCACCAUGACUUCCUGUACCAAAGAAGAAGCAAGUUCUUGAUACCAUACAAAGAAUGGAGCUCCUGAGUUAGAUAGUCUCCAUUUGGUUCCUGUUUAUGUGUAAGAAAUGAGCAGAGGGAAAAAGGAAUCAAUAGUUUGUUCCCUCUAUGGAUUUUCUGUGCACUUUCCAUAACUGGCUGGAUACUGCUGUACCCUGGUGUGACAUUCCUUUCCUUUCCACUGGGACUUUUAAAAACUAAAGGCAUCUAUCUGAAAAAGAAAAAAGUUAGGUUUUAUUCCUCUGAGAUCAUCAUCUCGCAAAAGAUUUAAAAAAAAAUAACAGAAUUAUAGAAUGUUAGAGCCAGAAGGGCUCUUAAAAUGUAAAACAUAAAAUGUGUGAAUGUAAAAUGUAGAACACAGAGUACCUUAACUAACUGGGAAAUUGAACAUUUAUGUUACAGGAGGAAGAGGACACAGGACAUGGAAUAUCAGAUCUGAAAGAAUCUUUAAAUUGUAUAAUCUACUAUAUACUUUUAGAGUUAUGAAGGAACUUUUGUAAUGGGCAUUUACUUAUUCAAAUUUGCCUCCAAAAAUCAAUAUGUAUUUUAUUGUCAUAGAGGUAUAUUGAGUUUUUUCAAAAUAAAAAUUAAUGUAAUUCAAUGAGAAA